GAACAACUAUUCUUAAAGUUAUAGAGCGUAAAAUGGAGGAAAGGAUCUGUCAAAUGAAUGAUGAUGACUGUGAGAGAGUAGAAGAUGAUCUACUUGGUUGGGUUAUGAAGAAUUCAAACUUUUCCACACAGCAGAUUCUUGAUCUCAUACUAAGCUUGCUUUUUGCUGGUCAUGAAACUUCUUCAGUUGCAAUAGCUUUGGCCAUCUACUUCUUACAAGGUUGCCCCAGAGCAAUUGAACAGUUAAGGGAAGAACACUGAGAAAUCAGCAGAGCUAAGCAACAAUCUGGAGAGAUUGGAUUGACUUGGGACGAUUAUACACAAAUGGAAUUCACACAAUGUGUUAUUAAUGAGACACUUCGGCUAGGGAACGUGGUUAGAUUUGUACACAGAAAAGCUCUUAAAGAUGA